CCCUUAGAUGUUCUGGGCCGCACGCGCGCUACACUGAUGCAUUCAACGAGUUUCUUCCUGGUCCGAGAGGAAUGGGUAACCUUUUGAAAGUGCAUCGUGAUAGGGAUAGACUAUUGCAAUUAUUGGUCUUCAACGAGGAAUUCCUAGUAGACGUAGUUCAUCAGACUGCAUCGAUUACGUCCCUGCCCUUUGUACACACCGCCCGUCGCUCCUACCGAUUGAAUGCUCAGGUGAGCCAUUCGGACUUUCAUCAUGCUGGUUUCCAGUUUUGAUGAAGGAAAGACUUGCGAACCUUAUCAUUUAGAGGAAGGAGAAGUCGUAACA
rnacentral:rRNA from 1 species